GGUUAAUGCUUGUAAUAAUAUUUAUAUAUAUGUAUGUAUAUAUAUAUAUGUAUGUACUCUUUAUGAGCUUUUGUAAGUUGUAUGGUAUGUAUGGAUGUACGUUACCUAACAAAAGUAUUUUGGAGCAGUAUUGCAGUUUAAAGUUUUAAA